UGAUAGUUAAUUGUAAAUUAUAUCUACUUUUUUACAGAAAAGGCUACACUGCCUACAUCAUGGUAUUGCCAAGGUGUUUCCUUCAACUUCUUGUUUAUAACCCAUUUUCCUCUGAAACACCUGUUUGUGAACAAGAACUUUGUCCACUUUGUGGUUCUGAAAUUUAGGGGGAGGGAGAGAACAAAUAGACUGUGCUCCUCCUUUCAGAGUGGCUUCAGUCUGGAUCAGCAAUUUUUGAUUAA
rnacentral:lncRNA from 1 species